rnacentral:rRNA from 1 species
UGCAGAAUUCAGUGAAUCAUCGAAUCUUUGAACGCACAUUGCGCCCUUCGGUACCCCGGGGGGCAUACCUGUUCGAGCGUC